AUGUGGCUCAGUGGUAGAGUGUUUGCCUUGCAUGCAUGAGACCCUGGGUUCGAUUCCUCAGUGU
rnacentral:tRNA from 1 species